UACGGGGGGGGCAAGCGUUGUUCGGAAUUACUGGGCGUAAAGGGCUCGUAGGCGGCCAACUAAGUCGGAUGUGAAAUCCCCAGGCUUAACCUGGGAACUGCAUCCGAUACUGGAUGGCUUGAAUCCGGGAGAGGGAUGCGGAAUUCCAGGUGUAGCGGUGAAAUGCGUAGAUAUCGAGAGGAACACCAGUGGCGAAGGCGAGUCCCUGGACACUUCCUGACACUGAGGCACGAAAGCUAGGGGAGCAAACAGG
rnacentral:rRNA from 1 species